UAAUACGUACUGUGCAAACGUUAUUCGGAAUCACUGGGCUUAAAGGGUGCGUAGGCGGCCAGAUAAGUAGGAUGUGAAAUCCCCCGGCCUAACCGGGGAACUGCGUUCUAAACUGUUUGGCUUGAGUAAGAUAGGGGUGUGUGGAACUUCCAGUGGAGCGGUGAAAUGUGUUGAUAUUGGAAGGAACGCCGGUGGCGAAAGCGACACACUGGGUCUUAACUGACGCUGAGGCACGAAAGCUAGGGUAGCGAACGGGAUUAGAUACCCCGGUAGUCCUAGCUGUAAACGUUGAGUACUAGACGGGAGGGACUUCGGUCUUUCCGGUUGCAGAGAAAUCAUUAAGUACUCCGCCUGGGGAGUAUGGUCGCAAGGCUG
rnacentral:rRNA from 1 species